GUACAUUCCACAGUUGUUGUGACUCAAAGGGACCAACACUGGUCAUUGUUAAAUAUGGAGGUUGUAUUUUUAGAGGAUUUGCAUCAAAGUCUUGGGGAGGAAGUAGCCGUUACAUAAGAGCAUCAGAUUCUUUUAUUUUUUCUCUUAAAAACCCGGCUGGUCUGGCCCCUUUCAAAUCCUCAAUAUAUAGAUAUCAACAAUAUGCAAUGUACACAAGCAGCAGCUAUGGACCCACGUUUGGAGGUGGUCAUGAUUUGAAAAUCGGCAACAAUCCAGAACCAGCACAAGCUCGUACACAAACUUUGGUCAUACGUACAAGCUCCCAUCAGGCUAUUCGUACGCGAGCAACAAAGCAAAGAAAUUGUUGGGUGGCUCCUACCAAUUUCGUCCAAACGAAAUUGAAGUGUUCUAUUUCUCCUCAUAAUAAUCGGACCAUUCACGAAUAAAAAGUGUCAUUAAGAAAGCAUGUUUUCUCCUUUUUUGUUAAGUUAACCGAAUUAGCUGUCGCACGUAGCAAAUAAUCUCAUAGAUAAUAAUUGUAAUCAUUCAAUAACUAUGCAAAGUAACCAAUAUUGUAAUUCCUUAAAUGAGAAUUGAAAUACUUAUUUUGCACUUAUUAAUUGCAACAAAACUUUUCUUUUCGA